rnacentral:rRNA from 1 species
UACAGAGGGGGCAAGCGUUGUUCGGAAUUACUGGGCGUAAAGGGCGCGUAGGCGGCCUUCUAAGUCGAACGUGAAAUCCCCGGGCUCAACCCGGGAACUGCGUCCGAUACUGGAAGGCUUGAAUCCGGGAGAGGGAUGCGGAAUUCCAGGUGUAGCGGUGAAAUGCGUAGAUAUCUGGAGGAACACCGGUGGCGAAAGCGGCUCACUGGCCCGAAUCUGACACUGAGGUGCGAAAGCUAGGGUAGCAAACGGG